UUGACCUCGGAUCAGGUAGGGAUACCCGCUGAACUUAAGCAUAC
rnacentral:rRNA from 5 species